rnacentral:rRNA from 1 species
CCUACGGGGGGCAGCAGUGAGGAAUAUUGGUCAAUGGACGAGAGUCUGAACCAGCCAAGUAGCGUGAAGGAUGACUGCCCUAUGGGUUGUAAACUUCUUUUAUAUGGGAAUAAAAUGUUCCACGUGUGGGAUUUUGUAUGUACCAUAUGAAUAGGGAUCGGCUAACUCCGUGCCAGCAGCCGCGGUAAUACGGAGGAUCCGAGCGUUAUCCGGAUUUAUUGGGUUUAAAGGGAGCGUAGGUGGAUUGUUAAGUCAGUUGUGAAAGUUUGCGGCUCAACCGUAAAAUUGCAGUUGAAACUGGCAGGCUUGAGUACAGUAGAGGUGGGCGGAAUUCGUGGUGUAGCGGUGAAAUGCUUAGAUAUCACGAAGAACUCCGAUUGCGAAGGCAGCUCACUGGACUGCAACUGACACUGAGGCUCGAAAGUGUGGGUAUCAAACAGGAUUAGAUACCCCGGUAGUC